rnacentral:rRNA from 1 species
UAGUUGGUGGGGUAAGGGCCCACCAAGGCUACGAUCCAUAGCUGAUUUGAGAGGAUGAUCAGCCACAUUGGGACUGAGACACGGCCCAAACUCCUACGGGAGGCAGCAGUGGGGAAUAUUGGACAAUGGGGGCAACCCUGAUCCAGCAAUGCCAUGUGUGUGAAGAAGGCCCUAGGGUUGUAAAGCACUUUAGUUGGGGAGGAAAGCCUCAAGGUUAAUAGCCUUGGGGGAGGACGUUACCCAAAGAAUAAGCACCGGCUAACUCCGUGCCAGCAGCCGCGGUAAUACGGGGGGUGCAAGCGUUAAUCGGAAUUACUGGGCGUAAAGGGUCUGUAGGUGGUUUGUUAAGUCAGAUGUGAAAGCCCAGGGCUCAACCUUGGAACUGCAUUUGAUACUGGCAAACUAGAGUACGGUAGAGGAAUGGGGAAUUUCUGGUGUAGCGGUGAAAUGCGUAGAGAUCAGAAG